rnacentral:rRNA from 1 species
UUUAAUUGGAGAGUUUGAUCCUGGCUCAGAAUGAACGCUGGCGGCGUGCUUAACACAUGCAAGUCGUACGAGAAAUCUUCAGCUUGCUGAAGAGAGUAGAGUGGCGUACGGGUGAGUAACGCGUGGGUAAUCUACCUUUGAAUUGGGGAUAACAUUGCGAAAGCGAUGCUAAUACCGAAUAACAUCCAUUUUGCUUCGGCUUAAUGGCUCAAAGAUGGCCUCUUCUUGAAAGCUAUUGUUUAAAGAUGAGCCCGCGUACCAUUAGCUUGUUGGUGGGGUAACGGCCUACCAAGGCAGCGAUGGUUAGCUGGUCUGAGAGGAUGAUCAGCCACACUGGAACUGACACACGGUCCAGACUCCUACGGGAGGCAGCAGUGAGGAAUUUUGCGCAAUGGGGGAAACCCUGACGCAGCAACGCCGCGUGAGUGAUGAAG